rnacentral:rRNA from 1 species
GAUGAACGCUGGCGGCGUGCCUAAUACAUGCAAGUCGAGCGAACGGAUGAGAAGCUUGCUUCUCUGAUGUUAGCGGCGGACGGGUGAGUAACACGUGGAUAACCUACCUAUAAGACUGGGAUAACUUCGGGAAACCGGAGCUAAUACCGGAUAAUAUUUUGAACCGCAUGGUUCAAAAGUGAAAGACGGUCUUGCUGUCACUUAUAGAUGGAUCCGCGCUGCAUUAGCUAGUUGGUAAGGUAACGGCUUACCAAGGCAACGAUGCAUAGCCGACCUGAGAGGGUGAUCGGCCACACUGGAACUGAGACACGGUCCAGACUCCUACGGGAGGCAGCAGGAGGGAAUCUUCCGCAAUGGGCGAAAGCCUGACGGAGCAACGCCGCGUGAGUGAUGAAGGUCUUCGGAUCGUAAAACUCUGUUAUUAGGGAAGAACAUAUGUGUAAGGAACUGUGCACAUCUUGACGGUACCUAAUCAGAAAGCCACGGCUAACUACGUG